rnacentral:rRNA from 1 species
GUCUGGAAUCCCGAAGAGAUUUGGGAGUGCUCGCAAGAGAACCGGAACACAGGUGCUGCAUGGCUGUCGUCAGCUCGUGUCGUGAGAUGUUGGGUUAAGUCCCGCAACGAGCGCAACCCUUGCCAUUAGUUGCUACAUUUAGUUGGGCACUCUAAUGGGACUGCCGGUGACAAACCGGAGGAAGGUGGGGAUGACGUCAAGUCCUCAUGGCCCUUAUGGGUAGGGCUUCACACGUCAUACAAUGGUCGGGACAGAGGGUUGCCAAGCCGCGAGGUGGAGCCAAUCUCAGAAACCCGAUCGUAGUCCGGAUCGCAGUCUGCAACUCGACUGCGUGAAGUCGGAAUCGCUAGUAAUCGCGGAUCAGCAUGUCGCGGUGAAUACGUUCCCGGGUCUUGUACACACCGCCCGUCACACCAUGGGAGUGGGUUUCACCAGAAGUAGGUGGCCUAACCGCAAGGAGGGCGCUUACCACGGUGAGAUUCAUGACUGGGGUGAAGUCGUAACAAGGUAGGCGUAGUGCU